UAAUACGGAGGGUCCGAGCGUUGUCCGGAAUUAUUGGGUUUAAAGGGUACGUAGGCGGAAUAAUAAGUCAGAGGUGAAAUCCUGCAGCUCAACUGUAGAACUGCCUUUGAAACUGUUAUUCUUGAGUAUGGUAGGGGUAAGCGGAAUUUAUAAUGUAGCGGUGAAAUGCAUAGAUAUUAUAAAGAACACCGAUAGCGAAGGCAGCUUACUGGACCAUAACUGACGCUAAUGUACGAAAGCGUGGGUAGCGAACAGGAUUAGAUACCCUGGUAGUCCACGCCGUAAACGAUGCUCACUCGCUGUUGGCGAUAGACAGUCAGCGGCCAAGCGAAAGCGUUAAGUGAGCCACCUGGGGAGUACGAUCGCAAGGUUG
rnacentral:rRNA from 1 species